rnacentral:sRNA from 1 species
UCAAUAUAAUCUUUGAAGCCUUCCCAAUC